GACGAACGCUGGCGGCGUGCUUAACACAUGCAAGUCGAACGGAAAGGCCCUGCUUUUGUGGGGUGCUCGAGUGGCGAACGGGUGAGUAACACGUGAGUAACCUGCCCUUGACUUUGGGAUAACUUCAGGAAACUGGGGCUAAUACCGGAUAGGAGCUCCUGCUGCAUGGUGGGGGUUGGAAAGUUUCGGCGGUUGGGGAUGGACUCGCGGCUUAUCAGCUUGUUGGUGGGGUAGUGGCUUACCAAGGCUUUGACGGGUAGCCGGCCUGAGAGGGUGAACGGCCACAUUGGUACUGAGAUACGGCCCAGACUCCUACGGGAGGCAGCAGGGGGGAAUAUUGCACAAUGGGCGGAAGCCUGAUGCAGCAACGCCGCGUGCGGGAUGACGGCCUUCGGGUUGUAAACCGCUUUCGCCUGUGGCGAAGCGUGAGUGACGGUAAUGGGUAAAGAAGCACCGGCUAACUACGUG
rnacentral:rRNA from 1 species